UACGAAGGGUGCAAGCGUUACUCGGAAUUACUGGGCGUAAAGCGUGCGUAGGUGGUUUGUUAAGUCUGAUGUGAAAGCCCUGGGCUCAACCUGGGAACGGCAUUGGAAACUGGCUUACUAGAGUGCGGUAGAGGGGUGUGGAAUUCCCGGUGUAGCAGUGAAAUGCGCAGAUAUCGGGAGGAACACCUAUGGCGAAGGCGGCUGCCUGGCCCAAUACUGACACUCAGGUGCGACAGCGUGGGGAGCAAACAGG
rnacentral:rRNA from 1 species